rnacentral:sRNA from 1 species
GGAAUGUCCUCGUUUCUUCUAAGUCACCUUCACAAUGAGAGCUGUGUUGUCUGUUGUAUUCCUCCUAGUCAGUUGUUCAGUGUUGAUAUCUGAAACUCGUAUGCCGCCUUUGGACGAAUGCCCCCCAAAUACUAGACGGGUGGGUACUUGUUACCCCCCAUACUAUAAGUGCAAUCUCGGGGUCUGUAUUCCCAUAGUACCAAAUGGCUACGGAGUGUGCUGCAAAGGACGUGGAUUCUACUGAGGCCUUCUGGAUAUAUGUAAACUGGGGACUUAUCCUGAAUAAAUUACUUG